GAAAUGCGAUAAGUAAUGUGAAUUGCAGAAUUCAGUGAAUCAUCGAAUCUUUGAACGCACAUUGCGCCCGCCGGUAUUCUGGCGGGCAUGCCUGUUCGAGCGUCAUUACAACCCUCAGGCCCCCGGGCCUGGCGUUGGGGAUCGGCGGAAGCCCCCUGCGGGCACAACGCCGUCCCCCAAAUACAGUGGCGGUCCCGCCGCAGCUUCCAUUGCGUAGUAGCUAACACCUCGCAACUGGAGAGCGGCGCGGCCACGCCGUAAAACACCCAACUUCUGAAUGUUGACCUCGAAUCAGGUAGGAAUACCCGCUGAACUUAAGC
rnacentral:misc_RNA from 1 species